CCUACGUGGGGCAGCAGUGAGGAAUAUUGGUCAAUGGGCGCGAGCCUGAACCAGCCAAGUCGCGUGAGGGAAGACGGUCCUAUGGAUUGUAAACCUCUUUUGUCGGGGAGCAAAAGACGCCACGCGUGGCGUUCCGAGAGUACCCGAAGAAAAAGCAUCGGCUAACUCCGUGCCAGCAGCCGCGGUAAUACGGGGGGUGCAAGCGUUGUCCGGAAUCAUUGGGCGUAAAGCGUUCGUAGGCGGUAUGUCAAGUCUGAUGUUAAAGCCCGGGGCUCAACUCCGGUUCGGCAUUGGAUACUGGCAAACUAGAAUGUGGUAGAGGUAAAGGGAAUUCCUGGUGUAGCGGUGAAAUGCGUAGAUAUCAGGAGGAACAUCGGUGGCGAAAGCGCUUUACUGGACCAUUAUUGACGCUGAGGAACGAAAGCCAGGGGAGCAAAUGGGAUUAGAUACCCGUGUAGUC
rnacentral:rRNA from 1 species